UACGUAGGCAGCAAGCGUUGUUCGGAGUUAUUGGGCGUAAAGAGCUCGUAGGCGGUCUGUUGCGUCGGCUGUGAAAACCCGGGGCUCAACCCCGGGCCUGCAGCCGAUACGGGCAGACUAGAGUUCGGCAGGGGAGACUGGAAUUCCUGGUGUAGCGGUGAAAUGCGCAGAUAUCAGGAGGAACACCGGUGGCGAAGGCGGGUCUCUGGGCAACAACUGACGCUGAGGAGCGAAAGCGUGGGGAGCGAACAGG
rnacentral:rRNA from 1 species